AUACGGAGGAUGCAAGCGUUAUCCGGAUUUAUUGGGUUUAAAGGGUGCGUAGGCGGUUUGCUAAGCGGGAGGUGAAAUGCCGGCGCUCAACGUCGGAAGUGCCUCCCGAACUGGUGGACUGGAAUGACUCUGCCGUGGGAGGAAUGUGUAGUGUAGCGGUGAAAGGCUUAGAGAUUACACAGAACACCGAGUGCGAAGGCCUCUCACGAAGGGUUGAGUGUCGCUGUGGCACGAAAGCGUGGGGAUCAAACAGGAUUAGAUACCCUGGUAGUCCACGCAGUAAACGAUGAUGGCUAACCGCUGGUUUAUUCGGAUCAGUGGCCAAGCGAAAGCGAUAAGCCAUCCACCUGGGGAGUGCGACCGCAAGGUUGAAACUCAAAGGAAUUGACGGUG
rnacentral:rRNA from 1 species